rnacentral:rRNA from 1 species
UACGAAGGGGGCUAGCGUUGCUCGGAAUUACUGGGCGUAAAGCGCACGUAGGCGGCUUUCUAAGUCGGGGGUGAAAUCCUGGAGCUCAACUCCAGAACUGCCUUCGAUACUGGAAAGCUCGAGUCCGGGAGAGGUGAGUGGAACUGCGAGUGUAGAGGUGAAAUUCGUAGAUAUUCGCAAGAACACCAGUGGCGAAGGCGGCUCACUGGCCCGGUACUGACGCUGAUGCGCGAAAGCCAGGGGAGCAAACGGG